GGUCAAACAUUAUUCUUGAUGUCUCUGCAAGACUGUUUUGGGGGUGAAAUUAACAGGCAAGUUGGUGAGCUUUGGUGAAGCAAACAACCUUACAUGAUGUGAGUGGUCCUUGUGCCCAGUUGAAGCCAUGCACUGUGCACUGGAGAGGCAGAGCAUCCUGCCUUCCACAGCCGUGCACACCAGUCCCUGUGCACAAGUGGCCACCCACCCAGCGAAUCGACGUGGUGUGCUUAUCAAAAUCUGUGUGUCUGUGGGCCAGAGCCAAAUCCAGAGCCCCAUCCUGAAUGCCCAGCGGUGCCCACAGCCAGGAGGAGCAUUCGAUGUGUGAUGACUCAUCUCGUGCAUCAGACGCUCUCUAAAGUUCCCACAGAUUAUACCAUGGCUUAGUGAGUGCGAUUCUAAGACAGUUCCAAAAGACUUUUCAAUCCGUGGGAGUUUCAAAGUGGAUUCUCAGACAAACAUGGGGAGGACUGAGGCAGGCUUGGACACGCACAGAAUCAGACAACGAUGGUCCGGAGUUCAAAUCCCUGCAACCACAUGGUGGCUCACAACCAACUGUAAUGAGAUCUGGCGCCCUCUUCUGGAGUGUCUGAAGACAGAUACAGUGUACUUACAUAUAGUAAAUAAAUAAAUCUUAAAAAAAAAAAAAACUGAUA
rnacentral:lncRNA from 1 species